rnacentral:rRNA from 1 species
UGGGGAAUUUUGGACAAUGGGGGCAACCCUGAUCCAGCAAUGCCGCGUGUGUGAAGAAGGCCUUCGGGUUGUAAAGCACUUUUGUCCGGGAAGAAAUCGCACCUGAUAAUACCGGGUGUGGAUGACGGUACCGGAAGAAUAAGGACCGGCUAACUACGUGCCAGCAGCCGCGGUAAUACGUAGGGUACAAGCGUUGAUCGGAAUUACUGGGCGUAAAGCGUGCGCAGGCGGUUGUGCAAGACCGAUGUGAAAUCCCCGGGCUUAACCUGGGAAUUGCAUUGGUGACUGCACGGCUAGAGUGUGUCAGAGGGGGGUAAAAUUCCACGUGUAGCAGUGAAAUGCGUAGAGAUGUGGAGGAAUACCGAUGGCGAAGGCAGCCCCCUGGGAUAACACUGACGCUCAUGCACGAAAGCGUGGGGAGCAAACAGG